UAGGGCGGGGACUAUCAUAUUGU
rnacentral:piRNA from 1 species